UACGUGUGGACCAAGCGUUAUCCGGAAUCAUUGGGUUUAAAGGGUCCGUAGGCGGGUCAAUAAGUCAGUGGUGAAAGUCUGCAGCUCAACUGUAGAAUUGCCAUUGAUACUGUUGACCUUGAGUAAUUAUGAAGUGGUUAGAAUAUGUAGUGUAGCGGUGAAAUGCAUAGAUAUUACAUAGAAUACCGAUUGCGAAGGCAGAUCACUAAUAAUUCACUGACGCUGAUGGACGAAAGCGUAGGUAGCGAACAGG
rnacentral:misc_RNA from 1 species